rnacentral:tRNA from 1 species
GAGCCAUUAGCUCAGUCGGUAGAGCAUCACACUUUUAAUGUGAGGGUCGACAGUUCGAAUCUGUCAUGGCUCACCA